GCUUGUCUCAAAGAUUAAGCCAUGCAUGUCUAAGUAUAAGCAUUAUACAGUGAAACUGCGAAUGGCUCAUUAUAUCAGUUAUAGUUUAUUUGAUAGUCCCUACUAUUUGGAUAACCGUAGUAAUUCUAGAGCUAAUACAUGCGUCAAGCCUCGACUCACGGAGAGGUGUAUUUAUUAGAUACAACCAGCCCUUCGGGUUUUCGGUGAAUCAUAAUAACUUUCGGAUCGAUCUUCGGAUCGAUGCAUCAUUCAAGUUUCUGCCCUAUCAGCUUUGGAUGGUAGGGUAUUGGCCUACCAUGGCUUUAACGGGUAACGGAGAAUUAGGGUUCGAUUCCGGAGAGGGAGCCUGAGAAAUGGCUACCACAUCCAAGGAAGGCAGCAGG
rnacentral:rRNA from 1 species